rnacentral:rRNA from 1 species
AGAGUUUGAUCCUGGCUCAGGAUGAACGCUGCGGCGUGCUUAACACAUGCAAGUCGAACGGACCAUAUUGAAACCUAGUGAUAUAUGGGUUAGUGGCGGACGGGUGAGUAACGCGUGGGUAACCUGCCUUACACAGGGGAUAACACUUAGAAAUAGGUGCUAAACCGCAUAAGCGCACAGCUUCGCAUGAAGCGGUGUGAAAAACUCCGGUGGUGUAAGAUGGACCCGCGUCUGAUUAGCUUGUUGGCGGGGUAACGGCCCACCAAGGCGACGAUCAGUAGCCGGCCUGAGAGGGCGGACGGCCACAUUGGGACUGAGACACGGCCCAGACUCCUACGGGAGGCAGCAGUGGGGAAUAAAUUGCACAAUGGGGGAAACCCUGAUGCAGCGACGCCGCGUGAGUGAAGAAGUAAUUCGUUACGUAAAGCUCUAUCAGCAGGGAAGAAAUACUGACCUUACGGUCAGCAGACGGUACCUGAGUAAGAAGCCCCGGCUAACUACGUG